rnacentral:rRNA from 1 species
UGCAGUCGAACGGACCCUUCGGGGUUAGUGGCGGACGGGUGAGUAACACGUGGGAACGUGCCUUUAGGUUCGGAAUAGCUCCUGGAAACGGGUGGUAAUGCCGAAUGUGCCCUUCGGGGGAAAGAUUUAUCGCCUUUAGAGCGGCCCGCGUCUGAUUAGCUAGUUGGUGAGGUAAUGGCUCACCAAGGCGACGAUCAGUAGCUGGUCUGAGAGGAUGACCAGCCACAUUGGGACUGAGACACGGCCCAAACUCCUACGGGAGGCAGCAGUGGGGAAUCUUGCGCAAUGGGCGAAAGCCUGACGCAGCCAUGCCGCGUGAAUGAUGAAGGUCUUAGGAUUGUAAAAUUCUUUCACCGGGGACGAUAAUGACGGUACCCGGAGAAGAAGCCCCGGCUAACUUCGUGCCAGCAG